GCACAACACCUCGGCUAGUUGAUCUCUUGUGACCGCGAGUUUCAUUUGCUCCCAAUUGAAUGGUGUAUGGCGGAGGUGAUAGAAGGCGUUGAUUGCUUGGGCACACCAAUCGACCCGCUUUCCUCGAACCGUGCUCGACUUCCGAUCCGUUGUUAGGAGGAUACGAGUGUUGGCGUAGAACUCGCGGACUAAUGAUAAGUUGAUCGACCCCUCCGGUUCCAAUAGUGCUUGCC
rnacentral:lncRNA from 1 species